AUCGAACGCUGGCGGCAGGCCUAACACAUGCAAGUCGAGCGAGCGGCGGACGGGUGAGUAAUGUAUGGGGACUGCCCGCUAGAGGGGGAUAACUACUGGAAACGGUAGCUAAUACCGCAUACUUUCGGAUAAGCCAUAUGGCAUUUGCUAGUAGGUGAGGUAAUGGCUCACCUAGGCGACGAUCCCUAGCUGGUCUGGGAGGAUGAUCAGCCACACUGGGACUGAGACACGGCCCAGACGCCUACGGAGGCAGCAGUUGGGAAUAUGGCACAAUGGGAGCAAGCCGGAUGCAGCCAGGCCGCGUGUAUGAAGAAGGCCCUAGGGUGGUAAAGUACUUUCAGUCGGGAGGCGGUAGAGACAGAAGAAGCACCGGCUAACUCCGUGCCAGCAGCCGCGGUAAUUC
rnacentral:rRNA from 1 species